GAGGCAGCAGUGGGGAAUAUUGGACAAUGGGCGAAAGCCUGAUCCAGCCAUGCCGCGUGUGUGAAGAAGGUCUUCGGAUUGUAAAGCACUUUAAGUUGGGAGGAAGGGCUAUUACCUAAUACGUGAUGGUUUUGACGUUACCGACAGAAUAAGCACCGGCUAACUCUGUGCCAGCAGCCGCGGUAAUACAGAGGGUGCAAGCGUUAAUCGGAAUUACUGGGCGUAAAGCGCGCGUAG
rnacentral:rRNA from 1 species